rnacentral:tRNA from 1 species
GCCGGGGUAACUCAGUCGGUAAGAGUGCCAGACUCAUAACCUCGAUCGUCGGUUGUGAGUACUGAUCCACGAGAUGAUGUGGGAGAUCUGGAAGUCGUGGGUUCAAUCCCCACCCCCGGCA